ACUCCUACGGGAGGCAGCAGUAGGGAAUCUUCCACAAUGGGCGCAAGCCUGAUGGAGCAACACCGCGUGAGUGAAGAAGGGUUUCGGCUCGUAAAGCUCUGUUGUUAAAGAAGAACACGUAUGAGAGUAACUGUUCAUACGUUGACGGUAUUUAACCAGAAAGUCACGGCUAACUACGUGCCAGCAGCCGCGGUAAUACGUAGGUGGCAAGCGUUAUCCGGAUUUAUUGGGCGUAAAGAGAGUGCAGGCGGUUUUCUAAGUCUGAUGUGAAAGCCUUCGGCUUAACCGGAGAAGUGCAUCGGAAACUGGAUAACUUGAGUGCAGAAGAGGUAGUGGAACUCCAUGUGUAGCGGUGGAAUGCGUAGAUAUAUGGAAGAACACCAGUGGCGAAGCGGCUACCUGGUCUGCAACUGACGCUGAGACUCGAAAGCAUGGUAGCGAACAGGAUUAGAUA
rnacentral:rRNA from 1 species